CCUACGGGAGGCAGCAGUGAGGAAUAUUGGUCAAUGGCCGGAAGGCUGAACCAGCCAUGCCGCGUGAGUGAAGAAGUACUUCGUUCUGUAAAGCUCUAUCAGCAGGGAAGAAAAUGACGGUACCUGAGUAAGAAGCCCCGGCUAACUACGUGCCAGCAGCCGCGGUAAUACGUAGGGGGCAAGCGUUAUCCGGAUUUACUGGGUGUAAGGGGAGCGUAGACGGUAGUGCAAGUCUGGAGUGAAAGGCGGGGGCUCAACCCCCGGACUGCUCUUGAAACUGUACGGCUGGAGUGCAGGAGAGGUAAGUGGAAGUCCUAGUGUAGCGGUGAAAUGCGUAGAUAUUAGGAGGAACACCAGUGGCGAAGGCGGCUUACUGGACUGUAACUGACGUUGAGGCUCGAAAGCGUGGGGAGCAAACAGGAUUAGAUACCCCAGUAGUC
rnacentral:rRNA from 1 species